GGAUCUCCAAUGAAGAAGUGCUUUAUAUACAAUACAAGCAGCUGCUGGUCUGUUUUUCUCAAAUCGCUUAUCUUCAGCGAGACACUUGAGCAGUGCAUCAUGACUUUCCUGUUUAUAAGAGAUGGAAACUCAACUUCAGGUUCUGGUUCAUUUUUUUCUGGAUGAACUUUCUGCUCUAAAGCAGCUGCUGAAUGGUCUGUUUCUAUUUUCUCUGGAUGGACUUUCUGCUCUAAAGCAGCUGCUGCUGCUGCCUGGCUCCGUAGGGAUUCAUUCUCUGAUUCUAGAUUUGCUAUCUGACCCUUGAGGCUAGACAGACAACAUGGAUUAACCAUUUCACUGAAAUCAUUUUGGCAUUUAUCAUGGAGAAUUAAUCGAGAAUCUAUACCCUCAUG